rnacentral:rRNA from 1 species
CCCAGACUCCUACGGGAGGCAGCAGUGGGGAAUAUUGCACAAUGGGGGAAACCCUGAUGCAGCGACGCCGCGUGAGUGAAGAAGUAUUUCGGUAUGUAAAGCUCUAUCAGCAGGGAAGAAAAUGACGGUACCUGAUUAAGAAGCCCCGGCUAACUACGUGCCAGCAGCCGCGGUAAUACGUAGGGGGCAAGCGUUAUCCGGAUUUACUGGGUGUAAAGGGAGCGUAGACGGCAGCGCAAGUCAGAUGUGAAAGCCCGGGGCUCAACCCCGGUAUUGCAUUUGAAACUGUCCGGCUAGAGUGCAGGAGAGGUAAGCGGAAUUCCUAGUGUAGCGGUGAAAUGCGUAGAUAUUAGGAGGAACACCAGUGGCGAAGGCGGCUUACUGGACUGUAACUGACACUGAGGCACGAAAGCGUGGGGAGCAAACAGGAUUAGAUACCCCCGUAC